CAAAAGAAUCUGACUGCGAACAACAUUGUAAGUCUCAUUUAAUCCCAUCAAACAUUGAAAAAGUCAUUGCGUAAGAUGCUCAAUAUUUCUCCUGGAUUGAUCAGAACCACAAAAAGAGAAAGGGACAAGAGCAUCAUACUCAUCUCAUAAUAACCACAACUUUGUAAAAUAAGCAGAUACAUUGGACAUACAUUGGAUAUGAGAAUUUAUUUCCUGAUGCAAGAAAAAAUUUCCUAGAAUAAUCAACCUUGUUAAAUCUUUCUCCAAGACCUUUCCAGACUGCCUUUACACUAGAAGCAAAUACGAUUCUAACCGAGAGCUCCCUGCUAAUAGUAUUCAAUAUCUAGAGCAUUACAUCGCUCCCAUUGUGAAUAUAAAUCCUCAGAGAGAAUCUUUAAAAUAAGUGUCAUCAACAAGCCCUAAUUUGUUCUUGGCUAAUAAUGCAAUUUUCAUAGAUCGACUCCAAACAUUAUAGUUUUCAAUUCCAAGAAGUUGAUGAGAUACCAGUAACGAGCCUAGGGUGUUCGAGGAAUGUAGAUAAAGAGGAUGAUUAAAAUCGAUAACCUGGUCGGAGAGAUCUAUGAUCGUAAACAAGAUCAACAUAUUCCAACUAUAAGAUUCGAAAAAACAACAAGACUAAGAAGAAAUUGCAAACAACCCAAUAACUUUUAACUGCAAUCAAGAACAACUUCCAGGAACAACGAUGAUCGAAAUACGACAACCAUCGAUUACUCUGAUACCAUGUUGAGAUAGCAGCAAGUAACGAAACAAUCGAUUGAAAGCAAAAACAAUUGAUUGUUGCGAUAGCAGUUGACAAUGAAACAAUCGAUUGAAAAUAAGAAACAAUCAAUUGAACAGAGGAAAGAAUGAAUCAGAGCUGAAAAAAUUAUCAAGC
rnacentral:lncRNA from 1 species